CCACCUCAGCUGGCAGAGCACGAGGCCCUUAAUCUCAAGGUUGUGGGUUCGAGACCCACGUUGCGUGAAAGA